CCUACGGGAGGCAGCAGUGAGGAAUAUUGGUCAAUGGACGAGAGUCUGAACCAGCCAAGUAGCGUGAAGGAUGACUGCCCUAUGGGUUGUAAACUUCUUUUAUAUGGGAAUAAAACGUUCCACGUGUGGGAUUUUGUAUGUACCAUAUGAAUAAGGAUCGGCUAACUCCGUGCCAGCAGCCGCGGUAAUACGGAGGAUCCGAGCGUUAUCCGGAUUUAUUGGGUUUAAAGGGAGCGUAGGUGGAUUGUUAAGUCAGUUGUGAAAGUUUGCGGCUCAAUCGUAAAAUUGCAGUUGAAACUGGCAGUCUUGAGUACAGUAGAGGUGGGCGGAAGUCGGGGUGUAGCGGUGAAAUGCUUAGAUAUCACGAAGAACUCCGAUUGCGAAGGCAGUUCACUGGACUGCAACUGACACUGGGGCUCGAAAGUGUGGGUAUCAAACAGGAUUAGAUACCCUUGUGUC
rnacentral:rRNA from 1 species